GUCUCCGUAGCUCAAUUGGAUAGAGCGUCAGCCUCCGAAGUUGAAGGUUGCAGGUUCGAUCCCUGCCGGGGAUA
rnacentral:tRNA from 1 species